rnacentral:tRNA from 1 species
GUGGGUAUAGCUCAGUGGUAGAGUGUAUGCUUAGCAUGCAUGAAGACUUGGGUUCAAACCCCAGAACCUCCG